rnacentral:lncRNA from 1 species
CCCAACUCAAUCCUUACCCUCAGGGCUAACCCCCCCCCACCCCAGCUCGGCUUGGCCUGGCCCGGCCCGGUUCGGCCCAACUUAGCCCAGUUCCACCCCAGGGUUAACCCUGGCCCGUUUCAGCCCGGUUCGGCCCAACUCGGCCCAACUCGGCCCAGCUCCACCCCAGGGUUAACCCUGGCCCGGUUUGGUCCAAAUCAGACUCCACCCCCAGGCUUAAACCCCCCCGGUCCGACUCGGCCUGGUUUGGCUCGGCCCGGUUCGGCCCAGCUCGGCCCAGCCCCACCCCAGGGUUAACCCUGGCCCGGUUCAGCCCGGUUCGGUCCAAAUCAGACUCCACCCCCAGGCCCAACUCGGCCCGGUUCAGCCCAACUCGGCCCAGCUCCACCCUGGGCUUAACCCUGGCCCGGUUCAGCCUGGUUCAGCCCAACUCGACCCAGUUCCACCCCAGGGUUAACCCUGGCCCGGUUCGGCCUGGUUCAGUCCAAAUCAGACUCCAUCCCCAGGGUUAAACCCCCCUGGUCCAACUUGGUCCAGUUCGGCUCGGCCCGGUUCAGCCCAACGCAAUCCUUACCCCAAGGGCUAACCCCCCCCCAGUUUGGCUCGGCCCGGUUCGGCCCAACUCGGCCCAGCUCCACCCCAGGGUUAACCCUGGCCCGGUUCGGCCCGGUUCGGUCCAAAUCAGACUCCAUCCCCAGGAUUAAACCCCCCCAGUCCAACUCGGCCUGGUUCAGCUCGGCCCGGUUCGGCCCAGCUCGGCCCAGCCCCACCCUGGGGUUAACCCUGGCCCGGUUCAGCCCGGUUCGGUCCAAAUCAGACUCCACCCCCAGGCCCAACUCGGCCCGGUUCAGCCCAACUCAGCCCAGCUCCACCCUGGGGUUAACCCUGGCCUGGUUCGGCCCAGUUCGGCCCAACUUGGCCCAGCUCCACCCCAGGGUUAACCCUGGCCCGGUUCGGUCCAAAUCAGAUUCCACCCCCAGGCUUAAACCCCCCCGGUCCAACUUGGCCCGGUUCGGCUUGGCCCGGUUCGGCCCAACUCGGCCCAGCUCCACCCCAGGGUUAACCCUGGCCCAGUUCGGCCCGGUUCGGUCCAAAUCAGACUCCACCCCCAGGCUUAAACCCCCCUGGUCCAACUCGGCCUGGUUCGGUUCGGCCUGGUUCAGCCCAACUCGGCCCAGCUCCACCCCAGGUUUAACCCUGGCCCGGUUCAGCCCAGUUUGGCCCAACUUGGCCCAGCUCCACCCCAGGGUUAACCCUGGCCCGGUUCGGCCCGGUUCGGUCCAAAUCAGACUCCACCCCCAGGCCCAACUCGGCCCGGUUCAGCCCAACUCGGCCCAGCUCCACCCCAGGGUUAACCCUGGCCCGGUUCUGUCCAAAUCAGACUUCAUCCCCAGGGUUAAACCCCCCCUGGUCCAACUUGGCCUGGUUUGGCUCGGCCUGGUUCAGCCCAACUCGGCCCAGCUCCACCCCAGGGUUAACCCUGGCCCGGUUCGGCCCGGUUUGGUCCAAAUCAGACUCCACCCCCAGGGUUAAACCCCCCUGGUCCAACUCGGCCUGGUUCGGCUCGGCCUGGUUCAGCCCAA